rnacentral:rRNA from 1 species
AUGGAGAACCGAAAGAACACUGGCCUCAGGGUACUGCCACCUAACCCCGUCCUCACUUCUGUACUCUCCACUCUUUGUCUCAUUUUUUCUCCCCUUUUGCGCUACUGCGUUGUUGCACACAAGACAAAGCUUCCAAACGAUGGGAUGGUGCAGGAGCAGGAGCCUGCUAUCAAGGUGAUGUACCAAGCCCUGAAGGAGAUAGAAAGUGAGCUCCAGAACCUCCGGGACGACAACAACCAGCUCCAUGAUGAGCUCCUUGGGAAAGACCGACAGCUUGCGGAGACACGGACACUUCUAGUUGACAGGGAGCACAAGCUUUCGAACACCCAGGCACUUCUCGUUGACAGGGAGCAGCAGCUUGCGGCCCAGACACUUGUUGUUGACAGUCGCUCUCAGCACACGGCCACCUCGAGCAUACGGCGCCGGCAGGAGGCCGAGCGCGCCGUGGCAGAGGAGCGUGAGCGAGCAGCUGCAGCAGCAAGGGCGUCGAGGCUGGCUGCAGCGGAGCUGGCAGCAGCCAGAGCGGAGGUAGAAGCAGCCAGGGCGGAGGUAGAAGCAGCAACAGCAGCAGCAGAUUGCAGGGAGGAACUACAAACCUUCAAGGGCAUCGGAGAGAAGAGAGCAAGAAUGAUACUGGAACUUCGCGAGCUGUCCCCAGAGGUCUUUGCAUCAGUCAAGAAUGUCCUAGAUUCUAUUGAAAUGAAGAAGCCAGAGGUGUCCAAUAUGAUGUGGGACAUGAUGGUCGGGCCCUAG